rnacentral:lncRNA from 1 species
CACCCAGAGGCAGCUGUCAACAUCUGGGCCUGCAGUGGAGGCCAGACAUGGGGUUGGGAGCUUUGGCCUAUGAUGACUCAGCUCUCUCAGGA